AAAGCCUGACGCAGCGACGCCGCGUGUGGGAUGAAGGCCUUCGGGUUGUAAACCACUGUCGGGAGGGACGAAGCUCUGACGGUACCUCCAAAGGAAGCACCGGCUAACUCUGUGCCAGCAGCCGCGGUAAUACAGAGGGUGCGAGCGUUGUCCGGAAUUACUGGGCGUAAAAGGGCGCGUAGGCGGCCUGAUAAGUCGGGGGUGAAAUUCAGCGGCUCAACCGCUGGACUGCCUUCGAGACUGUCGGGCUGGAGCACGGCAGAGGCUGGUGGAAUUCCCGGUGUAGCGGUGGAAUGCGUAGAGAUCGGGAAGAACAUCGGUGGCGAAGGCGGCCAGCUGGGCCGUUGCUGACGCUGAGGCGCGACAGCGUGGGGAGCAAACAGGAUUAGAUACCCUGGUAGUCCACGCCGUAAACGAUGGGUACUAGGCGUCGGGGGGAGCGACCCCUUCGGUGCCGUCGUUAACACAGUAAGUACCCCGCCUGGGGAGUACGGCCGCAAGGCUG
rnacentral:rRNA from 1 species